AUGCUAUAUUUGCCAAAAAACCUGGGAAAAAGAAAUGGCGCUGUACGGCCCGAAGUGAUGCGAUUCCCUAAUGCUAGUGAAGUAGAAAGGGCAUGUUGUUAUGGGAAACGCUUACCUCUGAAAGAGGGGAAUAUUGUUGUCUGUAUUACUCCUUGGACUGCCUCGAUUGGAGCUAAAGGCAUCAUGGAAAAAGCAUGGGUUAGGGUACGCAACAUUCUAAUAGAGAAAAGAUGCACUGAACAUAUAGCUUAUGCUGGGGCCCUGGUGGGAAUUACAUUAGAAGUUGAUGAAUCGACUGUGCAUAAACCUGAAUAUGCUAGAAUCCUUCUUGGCUGUAGAGAUGUUGAGAAAAUUCCUCCUUCAGCUGAAGGGAUGCUGGGAGAACAGUAUUAUGAUUUCUUUUAUGAAGUUGAAAAAGUUGUGACUAUGGGUGCUGAGAAAAGUCAAUCUUAUACUGCUGUGGAUAGCAGUGCAUCUCCUUCCUUCCCCAAGAAAGCAACGAUGGACUCAUAUCCUGCUUCUUCCAUGGGGCAGGGAGAGACGAGUGUAUCCAUGGCUGGUAAUUUCUCCUCCCAGAAUUAUGAUAAGGGCAUGUAG
rnacentral:rRNA from 1 species